AUAAAAUGGCCCGUGAAACCCUAGCUAGGGUUUUCUCCAUGAACACUACUUGAUCUUAUCCGAGCGGGACGCUGCGGCGGCGGCGGCGCCCGCCGUGCUCGCGCUCUCCGACGCUCCCUUCUCCCCGCCGAGCUCGUUGCCCCCGCGGCGAGCGGUCCCGCGGGCGCCCGUUUGCGGCGUCUCGGCGCGGGGAGCGGCGAGAGCGCGCGCGCAAGCGACGCCGCGUCGCCCCCGCGAUGACGAGUGCUCGCGGUCGGAGCACGAAGAAACCCUAGGACGUAUGUUGCAUCUCCUCCGCGCCUGCAAGUGAAAGAAGAGUUAGAUAAGAUGUUGGAUAUUCGCCGCGAAAGUAGCAGCAGCAUUGUACUCGUAUCACGUUACUGGGCAGUUAUAGUUCAGCUGACGACGAUAGAAAAAGACGAACGACGCCGACAAAAUUUAGAACUGGAACAGAGCAGAAUGAUCACUCCAAGACCUUAAUGUGUCAUAUUUGUAUGGAAUCAAUUGUUGGAUAUGGUUUGCUUCUGAUUACAAGAGUUUUGUGUAUCAAUGUGAAGCAGUUGUUUACAUCUUUUAAAAAAAAAAGUUUCUCUGAUGUCUUAACCUGCUGCUAUAUUGAAAUAAAUGGGCUUUGGAUUACUUUUAGUUUGACUUCAUCAGUUUGUAAAAUAUCUGAUUUUGGUCAUUCUCAGAGUGUUUGUGACAUUGAAAAA